UUCUUUUUGGGGGAAUAAAAAGUAUUUUCUGCUCCAUGGGUUUAAAUAGCUGCAGGGAUCUGCACUAAGGUAGCAUAAUCAAUUGUCUCUUAAUUGGAGGCUGGAAUGAAGGAAAAGUUGAAAGGGAUCCUUUUUUAUAUACUUUAGUUUAAGUUAGGUUAAAAGUAAAAACACUUUUAUGAUCUUUGGGGACGAGAAGACCCUAUAAAGCUUUAGAAAUAAAUAGUUUAUGUAAUGGUUUAUUUCUUCUGUUGGGGCAACAUUUUAAGAUUGGGAAUUUUAAAAUUUAUUAUUUUGGGAGGAUCUGUUUGUGAGCCAUAAUUUAUGAUUGUUUGAUCAAGUUACUUUAGGGAUAACAGCAUAAUUAUAAUUGGAAAGUUCAUAUUGAUAAUUUUGNUUGUGACCUCGAUGUUG
rnacentral:rRNA from 1 species